UACGUAGGUGGCAAGCGUUGUCCGGAUUUACUGGGCGUAAAGGGCGUGCAGGCGGUCUGUUAAGUGCAGGGUGAAAGCUCCCGGCUCAACUGGGAGAGGUCCUUGCAUACUGGCGGACUUGAGGGGGGUAGAGGAAAGUGGAAUUCCCGGUGUAGUGGUGAUAUGCGUAGAUAUCGGGAGGAACACCGGUGGCGAAGGCGGCGACCUGGUUCGAUACUGACACUGAGGUGCGAAAGCGUGGGGAGCAAACAGG
rnacentral:rRNA from 1 species